UAAGUGUGAGCUUUGAGUAGUUUUAGAUAUGGGUCAAAAAAGGUGAGUUGGAUAGGGGAUGCGUAUUUGAUUUGUUUGAAACUUUUUCUUUUGUUAGUUGAUUAGCAGUUCAGUAUGGGGAAAACUUGGUCUCUUUGACAUCUUUAGUGCUCAUACAUGGAAGGUAUGCAACACCUGUUAUAUAUGUUUAUUUAUAUAACUUUUAGUUUUAAAUAAAAAUAAUGUAAAAUAAGAGUAAAGCACUCCCUCUGAGCAGGCUAUUUGGUCUACACUUCCCGCAUAACUGGACUGUUAAUGGGUUGUAAGUAGACAUGUUACUGCAUAACUAGAAGGUUGUUGUUUUCUGUACUAAGCCAAAACCUUUACAUGGGUGGAUCUAGGAGUUUAAGUUGUUCAUGUGCAUAUCUAGAACUGCUCUUUUUUUCUCUUAUAUAAAAAAGAAAAAGAAAAAUUGUUUCUGGAUUAGAUUAGAUAUAUACAAGCUUUAAUAGGCAUGUAAAUAUUUAUUAAUUAAGAAAAUCAAGUUAUGGAUAAAAAGCGUUUCAGGUUAACCCAUCCUGGAAAUUAGAUGUGUAACCAAUUGCACACCCAAACCAAGUGUCUUUUGUAACUAAACUAUGAGUAGGUUUGCAUUUGCGUUCGAUUAGCAUUCUAUUAUAUCUCUUUUUAAAUAAUUUACUAUUGGAAUACACAGGCGAAAAGUUCGACAAAGCAAAAAACACAAGAGCCGAUAUAGUUAGUUGGCGGAGAGGGAAAUGCAAUAUCAAGCUGACACAUGGCCCAAGUUUUUUUCAUCUAUUACAUAUAAUAAAUGAACAUAAUUUGGUCGCGUGGCAUCGUGCCAUUGCAGCUGGGAUUAUAUUUGGCGCACUACUUUUAGGUUUUCAAACAUAUUUGGACGUUUUACAUGAUUAUUACCCGUUUUCAUGUGCAAAAGGAUAGUGUGUUUACAAGAUGUCCAAUUUUUCUUGUAAAAAAAAGAGGUUAGAUAGUCACGUUCAUAUGAAUAAUUACAUCAUUCUAAUUUUGGUUGUUCUCUACGCACCAUCAAAUAUCUUUCACCACUUACGUUAUGUUUAUAAUUAUUACCAAGCUUUCCAUAUUUUUUGUUACUUGAUAUUAAGAAAUAUUAUUUUUUGCAGACUCAUGGAUCGGGAGCCGGCCAAGAAAGAGCAAAGAAAACAAUUGCCUUCCGAAAGGUUGACGAGACUAUGGAUAAACUCAAAAUAUGAAGCAAAUUCAGGAGGCAUUGGGAACAGCAUCGGGUGCAGCUGCUGAUUACGAUUAGGUCUACAUUUAUUCGAGUGGUAGGCAAUUUGCACAACGGUUAAUAUUUGGAUAUAAAAAGUAUGGCUACUUAAGGAAAUAUUUAUGUGGAUAAUUUGUCACGUGAGCGAUGUAAAACUUGAUCCUUAGAUUGGGAGACCAAUUGUGUAUGGGUUGGCCGCAAAAAGGAGAGUAUGGAGUUGGAAGAAAUGUGGAAGGAUGAACUUUCAAUGAUAUAUGGAUGUCACUUUGUUUAUGAUUUAUGAAGUGACUUCAAGGUUAUUAAAUUUUAUGUGUCUGUUAAAUCAAAGAGGACUUGCAUCUAUAACGUUGGAUGUGGCAGGGCGUGCUACACCAACCGGACUGAGUUUAUGAUACUUUUAGUAAAUUGUAAAUGUAACAUUAUUUGUCAUUUUCUUGAUGUUUUUAUACACAUCUUAUAAAGAAAACUUCAUACCUAAUAAUACAAUCCACUUUGCUACUAA